rnacentral:piRNA from 1 species
CAGGGCAACCCAGGACCUACUGCCAG